rnacentral:lncRNA from 1 species
UCUAACAAAACCUUGAUAUCUAUUUAAAAAAACAACCUUCAUAUCAAUAAGCAGGACGAACUCUUCUUCUUUAUUAAUCUUUGUUUAGUGAUCCACAAGGGACCACCCUAACGGUUCAAACUUAAUAUAACCAAAUUCUAUUAAGUUAUUCUCUCAGAAGACGAACAGUUUGGGAACAUAUGCAACUGGUCAAUUAUUGUUUAAUAUUCUUCAGAGCAUCCUGCAAGUUUCUCACAGGUUUCCAUUGAAAUGGGAAGCACAUUCGUCUAAAAACAAAAAAUGAGAAGCACAGCAACCUGGAUUGUUCAAGCAAGCACAUGGAAAUUGCGACACAAUUGCAAUAAGGAAUAUAAAUUAUUGCUUGCAGAUAAUGUUACCAUUUUGCUGACCAGUUAAAAGAAUCAGAGUCUCCAAGAAGACACCCAAUACAGCAAUGAAUGAGCAUCUUCUGCUGGUCUCAUAUCCGAGCAAUUGCUUGGAAAUAGCAAUGCCCUCACUGCAUGCACAUCUAUAUAAUAACAGCGAGGAAGAGAAAGCAACACAUUUUCUGCUUGGAGUGCUUAGAAUAAUCAUUUUCUUAUCCAAUAAAUUCAACUCGUAUGGAUAGUGUCAUUCGUCUGUAUUUGGAGAUACAGCAAGUGAAAUCUUAUGAGGACAAUUCUGGUAGCCAUUAACAAGGCAUGGUAAACAUGAUACCCGCCAUUGUUGCAGGAGAUGUUCGAGGGUUGAGAAAUAGACAGGAAAAUGAUAUCUUCAAAAAAUAAUGUCACAAUCCAAAUUACCUUUAUUUCAAGAUUUCUCAUUCUCUCUCCUCUUUCUUUUACGUUAAUAUGUACUAGUCAACUGCACCAAUGCGAUUUUAACGGAAAAGAAAUGAGUUCGAUUCAUUUACUUGUCUAUUCUGGGAACCCGCAGAUAUCUCCUGCAGCAAUUGGUGAAAUCAAUUUACAUUGCCUCGUAAAUUUCUGCCACAUUCUGCUUCACCUUCACUAGCAUCAUCUUUAAAUAACGGAGGCCGACAUAAUCAGUUUGAGCCGAAUUUAUUGGAUUUGGAAUGAUAUGCUCCUAUAAAUGAAAGCGAUCAUCCAAGUUUUCCUGGUGAUGUUCUUUUUCUUUUUCCCUUCAUGAGUCUCAU